AGAGUUUGAUCCUGGCUCAGGAUGAACGCUGGCGGCGUGCCUAAUACAUGCAAGUCGAGCGAACGGACGAGAAGCUUGCUUCUCUGAUGUUAGCGGCGGACGGGUGAGUAACACGUGGAUAACCUACCUAUAAGACUGGGAUAACUUCGGGAAACCGGAGCUAAUACCGGAUAAUAUUUUGAACCGCAUGGUUCAAAAGUGAAAGACGGUCUUGCUGUCACUUAUAGAUGGAUCCGCGCUGCAUUAGCUAGUUGGUAAGGUAACGGCUUACCAAGGCAACGAUGCAUAGC
rnacentral:rRNA from 1 species